rnacentral:lncRNA from 1 species
GCAUUGGGGACUUUUGAUGGUCACUAAAUAAACAUUGUAACACUAUUCUGUUUUCACAUUGACUUGUCUGGGGAGGCGGGAUUUUUUCACCCUGAAUAAUGUGCCAUUAUUCACACAUUCAGGAAGAUUACAAUGUGUUCAGGAUCACCAGGAACUAAGAAUGUCUGUGAAGAAAAAAGGCAGAUUGUUUUAAGGAUCAAGAAGAGGAGCACGAGCCCUCCCUUUUCCCCACCGCAGCUGGCUCCGGCACAUGCUCUAAGUCGUCAUCCCUGACUUGUGUUCCCAUAACUGGACUGCAGUCACUGGCAGAGCUUCUGUAAGCGUUAGUGCUCAGAUACAACACAUUCGUGAAUCUGAAGGCAGGGUUUUCUGGUGAGUGACACUCAGCAAAGAUUUGAGAGUUGGCAGAUUUCUGCCUCAGACAGUAGAGAAAGAAAGACAGUAGAGGCUGGCUGAUGUUGGCAUCCUGAUACCACAGGGAACAGCCAUGUCACAGUGUCUCUCACGUAUAAAAAACCAUUCAGAGAAGAUUGGUUGAGUGUCCAUCAAGAAGGCACAUUGUUGGAAUUGCACUGAAGGUCAUUAGAAAAGGACACAUCCCCUUAUACAUUUGGAAAGCAGUCACAGAAUGUUUGAUGUUAUAGCACAAGACGCACAGUCUGAAAAACUAAGUGUAGCCUAAACAACAGGUUUACAGGUUAGUACCUUCAGAUUUUGGGAGAUACUCUCCAGUCACGUUUUAAUAAUUCCCCUAGAUUAACUACUUUUAGGUAGACAAUCAAUGUUAUAUUUAUCACAGUACAAGUCAUUUCAGGUUUUUUAAUGUAGAAUCACGCAGUGCCAUAAAACACAUGUGAGUUUAAACGUGGAAAUCCACAGUACUAUUUUCUAAAUCUUGGUAUUGCUGCUUGAGAAUAUGUUCACAAUUCUCCACCUAACUCUGUAUCCAUAGUCUUGGCAAUGAGAUUUUUACAGCAUCUAUUCUCUCACAUAUUAAAUCUAGGAUGGCCACAU